GAUUUCUGGUUAAGUAGCGCUAGCCCGCCCUUGCCAGGGGUGUGCGCUGGUUAGCUGCUUGCCAUCUUUCUAGAAAGCCAGCGUUUGUCAUUCACUUGGCGGACGUGACGCGAUCUAGAUCUUUUACUUUGAAAAAAUUAGAGUGUUUAAAGCAGGCUUGCGCUAUGAAUACAUUAGCAUGGAAUAAUAAUUUAGGACUUUGCUCCUAUUUUAUUGGUUUCUAGGGGUAAAGUAAUGAUUGAUAGGGAUAGUUGGGGGUGCUAGUAUUCAUCGGCCAGAGGUGAAAUUCUUGGAUUCGAUGAAGACUAACUUAUGCGAAAGCAUU
rnacentral:rRNA from 1 species